rnacentral:lncRNA from 1 species
GGUUUGUAACAAUACCUUCUAUCAUCAAUACUCCACCGUUAACACCUCCGUUCAUUUAAUUCUUUGAAGAGCCAAAAGCUGAAGUCCAGAUAACGGCCACCAUCGGCGACCUCUGCUGGAAAUCACCAACACCGGUGUACAUCUGAACUCACAAUUAUUCCAAAGGUCGGUCCUGAUCGACGAGAUUCAUUCUCGAAGGUCUCCAAACUAUUAUUUUUCCUUAAAACCCAAAUGUGAAAUUAUCUUUUCAAAUCCCCAAUUAUUUUCCUGUAAUCAAAUCUUCCGAAUCUCCUUUAUUGAAUUCAAAAAUUCUCGAACAGGGGUAGGAACUAGGGCUUGGAGAAAUUGGGUGAAAUAGGCGAAUACUUUUGGGGAAAACAAAAGAGGUAAGAUAAGAGGGAUUUUGGUGCAAACAUAAUGAAGAAAUUAAGAGAUAAUUU